CAGAAGAUUAUAAUUUUGCUGAAAUACUCAAACGAAUUAAUAAAAAAGAUAUACUCCAAAGAGAACCUACAGUGUCUGAAUUAAAGAAAGAGGUAAAUGAAAUAAAAAUAGAAGUAAGACACCUAAACACUAGAAUCAAAAUAUUAGAAUUGCAAAAUGACAUAUCAGGCACCAUAACUGAUGCAGAUGAAAUUGAAUUUGAUCAACUAGCAGAUUCUAAUCAUAUAGAACCAGAAACUUCAGGAACAAAAGAAGUUGGAGAAAAUAUAUCUGUAAAUCUUGUA
rnacentral:lncRNA from 1 species